UCGUCGUGUUCGGUUGUCAUAUUGACAAGUGUCGUUCCGUAAAUUGCAAUAAUUAUUCGAAUUGUUAUUGCUGCUGGUAAAGUGCAAGUGUUUCGCGUUUGUUAAAUGUAAAUGAGCAAGUGCGGGUCGGGUGUGAAAAUGUGUUUAUGCAAAAUGUGUUCGUUGUGUUUCUUACUUAUGCUACGGGGCAGCAGCAGCAAUAACUAACACAAGUACACAAGCAGGACAAGUGAAAAUUAGACCAUGCUUGCGUGUGCUUGUGCGUGUGUGUAAUUAUAUUAAAUUCUUGCAAUUGAAUUAUUGUAUUUUACACAAUGCAUGUACAAUAAAACAAUUUUGCAUAUCUAAAUACAUGAAAACACAAAUGCAAAACCAAGUGAACUUUUCAUUUUGCACAAAUUUUUUCAGCGCGUCAACUUUUUUUGUGUGCUUGUGUGACAGAAUAACGGAAUUAGAUGUCACACAUUUUGGCGCUUGCAGAACAGCAAGAAGUGAAAGCAAUACUCGUCGACAAUGCGUAUCUUAAUGCCCGGAUUUGGAUGGCCAGCUGUUGCUGCAUUGCGGAUGCCAAAACUCAUUGUAACUAUGCCAACUUCGGACAUGGCAUAACCCGAAUUAUGUAAAUCCAAAUUGAAAACGUAAAAUAUUCGAAAUGUUCUGCAUCCCAUCGAUGUGAAAUUUGAUCAACUAAUAAAGCAAAGCAUUUUUUCAAUAUGAGCAAAACUGGCAGCCUGACUGACUGAUUGCCAAUCAAUACACAGAAGAGAAUACUUCACACUCUGCUCUGGACGAUAUUUUCCGGAAAAAUAAGCUCCCCUUUCGUCGAUGGAUUUAAUGCCAACUGAAGAGAUUUAUUAUGCUUAACAUUACGGUUCACUUAUUGCUGCAGAACUUUUGUGGAGAAAAAUAGGGUUUUCAACUAAAUGUUUGCCUCUUUUACUUUUUGUGACACUUUAAAAUGACAAACAAAUAAAAAAUGUCACCAGAAAAGGAUUACAAAUAAAAUUU